UAUCUCCCUUCUAACCCAUGAUACAAAUACACACCAGCUAAACAUCAUGAUUUUUAUAAACAAACGUCGACACAUUAUUUACAUAUAUAAAGCAUGAUGGGGUUUCCUUCGGGUCGGUACAAAAAAACAAGAAGGGUUAGGACUCUGCCAUGUCCUACCUAAACUCUCAAAAAGAAACCUCGACCCCUAACAUUAGGUGAACAAGGAACCCUCCCAUCGAAAGCGUCGGUUUUCUACAUCAAAAAGUGAUCUAGCUCCUACUCCUCGCGUACAGGUCUCACACCCAACCCGGUGUGUCAGGUGGUGGCGGUGGCAGCAUCCCUCGCAUCGCUCCAUCCCGUCGAACGUGCACAGACAGGAACUCUUGUAUGACAGGGCCCCCAGCCAGGCCGAUAUCAUACAUAACUAAGCAUCGCACUCGGAUAAACGUCAAUCCGGGCACAGAGGGACAAUCUAUCUCCGUACACUCCACCUCAACAUCAGACGGUAGACCGUAAAAUACCCCACGCGAAACAGC
rnacentral:lncRNA from 1 species